rnacentral:rRNA from 1 species
UGGGUAAUAUUGGACAAUGGGCGAAAGCCUGAUCCAGCCAUGCCGCGUGUGUGAAGAAGGUCUUCGGAUUGUAAAGCACUUUAAGUUGGGAGGAAGGGCAGUAAGCGAAUACCUUGCUGUUUUUACGUUACCGACAGAAUAAGCACCGGCUAACUCUGUGCCAGCAGCCGCGGUAAUACAGAGGGUGCAAGCGUUAAUCGGAAUUACUGGGCGUAAAGCGCGCGUAGGUGGUUCGUUAAGUUGAAUGUGAAAGCACCGGGCUCAACCUGGGAACUGCAGCCAAGACUGGCGAGCUAGAGUAGGGCAGAGGGUGGUGGAAUUUCCUGUGGAGCGGUGAAAUGCGUAGAUAUAGGAAGGAACACCAGUGGAGAAGGCGACCACCUGGGCUCAUACUGACGAUGAGGUGCGAAAGCGUGGGGAGCAAACAGG